rnacentral:rRNA from 1 species
UACGAAGGGGGCUAGCGUUGCUCGGAAUCACUGGGCGUAAAGGGUGCGUAGGCGGGUCUUUAAGUCAGGGGUGAAAUCCUGGAGCUCAACUCCAGAACUGCCUUUGAUACUGGGGAUCUCGAGUCCGGGAGAGGUGAGUGGAACUCCGAGUGUAGAGGUGAAAUUCGUAGAUAUUCGGAAGAACACCAGUGGCGAAGGCGGCUCACUGGCCCGGUACUGACGCUGAGGUGCGAAAGCCAGGGGAGCAAACGGG